UUUAAACUAUUGAGGAGAUAUUGUCGUUUAUAUACACUAUGUUAACCUAUUGUGGAGGUAUUGUCGUUUAUAUACACUAUGUUAAACUAUUGUUGAGAUAUUGUCGUUUAUAUACACUAUGUUAAACUAUUGUGGAGAUAUUGUCAUUUAUAUACACUAUGUUAAACUAUUGUGGAGGUAUUGUCGUUUAUACACACUAUGUUAAACUAUUG